rnacentral:rRNA from 1 species
UACGUAGGGGCGAGCGUUAUCCGGAAUUAUUGGGCGUAAAGAGUACGUAGGCGGGAGCUUAAGCACAGGGUUUAAGGCAAUGGCUUAACCACUGUAUGCCUUGUGAACUGAGCUUCUUGAGUGCAGGAGGGGAAAGCGGAAUUCCUAGUGUAGCGGUGAAAUGCGUAGAUAUUAGGAGGAACACCAGUGGCGAAGGCGGCUUUCUGGACUGUAACUGACGCUGAGGUACGAAAGUGUGGGGAGCAAACAGGAUUAGAUACCCUGGUAGUCCCUGA